rnacentral:rRNA from 1 species
UACAGAGGUCUCAAGCGUUGUUCGGAUUCAUUGGGCGUAAAGGGUGCGUAGGCGGCGCGGUAAGUCGGGUGUGAAAUCUCGGAGCUUAACUCCGAAACUGCAUUCGAUACUGCCGUGCUUGAGGACUGGAGAGGAGACUGGAAUUUACGGUGUAGCGGUGAAAUUCGUAGAUAUCGAGAGGAACACCGGUGGCGAAGGCGGCCUUCUGGACAGUGACUGACGCUGAGACGCGAAAGCGUGGGGAGCAAACAGG